rnacentral:rRNA from 1 species
UAGGGUGGUUUUAGCGGUGGGGCUCACCUGUUCCCAUUCCGAACACAGAAGUUAAGCCCACCAGCGCCGAUGGU